rfam:Caprimulgus carolinensis contig46957, whole genome shotgun sequence.
UUGCUGUGAUGACUAUCUUAGGACACCUUUGGAACACCCGUGAAAAGAAAAUAGUUGUUAUUUCUGAGCAGC